rnacentral:rRNA from 1 species
AUUGAACGCUGGCGGCAGGCCUAACACAUGCAAGUCGAGCGGCAGCGGGAAAGUAGCUUGCUACUUUUGCCGGCGAGCGGCGGACGGGUGAGUAAUGCCUGGGGAUCUGCCCAGUCGAGGGGGAUAACUACUGGAAACGGUAGCUAAUACCGCAUACGCCCUACGGGGGAAAGCAGGGGACGUUCGGGCCUUGCGCGACUGGAUGAACCCAGGUUGGAUUAGCUAGUUGGUGAGGUAACGGCUCACCAAGGCGACGAUCCCUAGCUGGUCUGAGAGGAUGAUCAGCCACACUGGAACCGAGACACGGUCCAGACUCCUACGGGAGGCAGCAGUGGGGAAUAUUGGACAAUGGGCGCAAGCCUGAUCCAGCCAUGCCGCGUGUGUGAAGAAGGCCCUCGGGUUGUAAAGCACUUUAAGCGAGGAGGAAGGUCAUCAUACUAAUAUUAUGAUGAAUUGACGUUACUCGCAGAAUAAGCACCGGCUAACUCUGUGCCAGCAGCCGCAGUAACAC